rnacentral:rRNA from 1 species
UACGUAGGUGGCAAGCGUUGUCCGGAAUUAUUGGGCGUAAAGGGCUCGCAGGCGGUUUUCUAAGUCUGAUGUGAAAUCUUGCGGCUUAACCGUAAGCGGUCAUUGGAAACUGGAGAACUUGUGUACAGAAGAGGAGAGUGGAAUUCCACGUGUAGCGGUGAAAUGCGUAGAGAUGUGGAGGAACACCAGUGGCGAAGGCGACUCUCUGGUCUGUAACUGACGCUGAGGAGCGAAAGCGUGGGGAGCGAACGGG